CGAGAGAAGUUGCGCCUCCUCGAUAGCCCACUCGCCGCGAUUUGUACGUGUCUCACGUCUCGCAUACUUCAUCCCGUGAGUCACAAUCGCGCGGGAAGGGACCGAUUGACAGACCCGAUCGACCGCCAAGCCGCGGAGGGAAGUAAGCGACGACGAUCACGGAAGAAGAGGAAGAGCCGCGCCGAGGUUGUUGCCUCCGCGCUUACCGUUCUCAAGCGCGGAAAGUGGUGCGUCGUCGCGCGCCGCGCGUCUAUGUGCGCGGUCAGGUGACAGAAGGGGAGACGACGUUAAUCGCGAGGUGUUGCUGCUGCCGCCGUUGCUGCUGCUGCCGUUGCUACUGCCGCUGUCGCUGCAAGAGUGCGCGAUCGCCGACGAGCUGCUGCCGAUCGCGACGCGUUGCUCGAGAGAACAGGGUGCUCGGGAGCGCCGGCGGACGGAAGUGGACGCGCAAGAGGAAGACUGCCGCACGGGGCCGAGGAAAGCAACGAGAAGGAGCAGAUCUUAUCCAAGAUGACGAGUGUGGUGACGAACUUGGUGGAUAGCUAUAAUGACCUCAUGGACAAGCAGUCUGAUCCCAGGGUGAACAAUUGGGUGAUGAUGAGCAGCCCUAUUCCGACCGUGAUGAUAUGUUUGUUCUACGCUGUCCUCAGCAAGUAUCUAGGACCGAAGUUGAUGGAAAACAGAAAGCCUUUCGAUCUUCGAGGGACCCUCAUAAUUUAUAACUUAAUACAGACCCUCUUCUCAUCGUGGAUAUUCUACGAGUAUUUGAUGAGCGGUUGGGCGAAAGGUUACAGCAUCCGAUGCCAACCGGUGGAUUAUUCAAGAGAUCCGAUUGCCAUUCGGAUGGCGAAUACUUGUUGGUGGUACUACUUUAGCAAAUUCACUGAGUUCUUUGACACACUAUUCUUUAUUCUGAGAAAGAAGAAUCAACAUGUCUCAACGCUUCACGUGAUUCACCAUGGAAUAAUGCCUUUUUCUGUAUGGAUGGGAGUAAAAUUCGCGCCGGGCGGUCACAGCACUUUCUUCGCCCUCUUAAAUACUUUCGUACACAUCAUCAUGUAUUUUUAUUAUAUGCUAGCUGCAAUGGGACCGCAAUACCAGAAAUACAUCUGGUGGAAGAAAUAUCUUACUACGUUCCAAAUGGUGCAGUUCGUGAUGAUUAUGUGCCAUCAGUUCCAAUUAGUUUUCACUGAGUGUAAUUACCCACGAGGCUUCAUGAUUUGGAUUGGCUUGCACGGUGUCCUGUUCCUCGGGUUGUUCUCAAACUUCUACAAGACGAAAUAUACAGGCGAUUCCACAAUGAAGAAGUCCGCGAAGACGCGGAACGGCAACGUUGGAGCUUGCAUGCCGGUCUUAGACGAGAACAACAGUGAUAUGAAGCACAACGGCGUAUCGUCAUAUGCCACGAUCUACAACAAAGAGUACAACAGCUGUUACAGCAACGGCACAAACAACGGUUACGUCGCCAAUAAUAACGUCGCGGAGAAGAAGCUCGCUUAGGAUACGUCGCAGCCACGUUCGAAGCUCGAACGUUUUCUUCGGAGUGCCGUUCAGCCGCUCGUCUUGUCACACCAUCUAGUUACCAUUCUACCAUAAAAGAUCAUUUCGUCUACGACCUUACGCGUGAAAUUAUGCACACGUGUAAGGAGGACAAAGACGGUAAGGGUUUCCAUUAAAAAAAAAGAAUAAAUAUCGAGCAAGACGUCUCGUAAAAAUAUUCUGCAUUGCUAGCAAAGCAGAAGCUGUGUUCACUAACAUAGAGUCAUCGAGGGGAGAACUGUUACCACGUCCGUGUUAUAAAGUAGAAAGAAAGAAAGAGAUGUAAUGAAAUGCGAUAAUUGUUGAAAUGAGCAUCGAGUUGGUAAAAUGUGCAUUGUUCAUUUUUUAAGCCUUCAUAAAAUAUGGCGUAGUUUUUAAUUAGAGCCUCAUGACAUCUGCCACCCGAAAAUGGAACAUCGAUAUAUAGAUUAUCGGUAAUUAUUGACUAUAUACUGAUAAGUCUCUCCUAGCAAAAGAAAGAGAAAAGGAAGAAACUAUCUUCGCAAUUUCCACAUUUUGCAUGGGAACUGUUCGUUGCGAUUUGUAGAAAUUCGAAAUAGCUCGAAACUAUUUAAGAAAGAUCAAAUUUGACGUGACGCGAGAACGCGAAAAGUGAUAUGAGAGCGAGCGAAGAACAUUAAUGCGCACACAAACACGACAAAAAAUGUAAUUAGAACAUUCUUCGUCAAAAAUUGUACUGGCGAGAACAGUGUGUUCACUAUGCGUGCAUUUUCUGUUUCCGGUUUAUCGUAUAUACGUAUCGAUACGACGCGAAUGUGGAUGUUUUUUAGUUGCUAUACGUAAUUUUUCAAGUAACAUUUCUUAUGGAGAUACGCUAUCGCAAUUAGACCCUUUCUCGUUUUACCAUCAUUACCGACACUAUGCGUCUUGUUUCUCUCUGUAUCCCCAAAACUGUGUUCAAAAUUUUGAUAAAAUCAAAACGCAUACAAAUCAAGUGGAUCGAAACAUACGACAAAGUUGGUUGUAUGAUUUUGUUGUUAGCAAUUAUUAAUAAUUCUUAAUUUUCAUUGGUCGAUACUUAAUUAGUCAAAAAUGUUAUUAUUGAAAAAAUUGAUAUCUUGUCUGUUUUAAUAAGUAAUUAUAUGUGUUAUUUUAUUAUUUUGUCGAGUAUGAUGAAACAGCAAAUUAUUUGAAAUUCUAAAUUUCUCUUUUCAUUUCGGAUUCAUUAAAUCUGCUAAACGCAUUAAUGUGAUAGCAACUUGUUCAAUAUUAAUAACACAAUGAAUUUAUUUAAAAGAAGCAUCUGUUUAAUCGAUAUUAAAAUACUUUUUAUCGCUCAUUAUUUCAAAAGUAAGUUUCUUCCUAAACGUUACAAUGUAUUAAUAAACAGCUUUCUUGAUUAAAACUAUACGAUUUUUCUACAUAAUAAUAUAAUAAUUUGCGAAACGUCGAAUUAUUAAUAAUUCUUAAUUUUUAUUGGUAGAUACUUAAUUAGUCAAAAAUGUUAUUGAAAAAUUGAUAUCUAUUAAUUAUGUUCGAAAGUAAUUAUUAUUAAAUUAUUUUUUAUCGUUCGCCAUUUCGAGAUAAAGCCGAAAGUGAUUAUGAAUUACUAGCAACUAACUACAUCGGCUAUAUCUUCCGUGUAUUUCAGUCGGAGGCUUGAUUCUAUCGACGGAGCAAUAAACUGUAGAAAAAGUUUAUUCAUUGCUUCGAUCACUUUGUCCUCAAAACGACAUUAUGAACCGCACUGCAGCUCGUUAUUCUUGUGCACAACAUAAUACGAAAGCUUUGAUCGAUCGGGAAGCGUAUGCGACAUUCAAGUUGCGAAAGUCACGAAGCUUUAGUGUCGUAGAAUCAGGCUUCGAGCGAAAGGGAACGCAUGCUGUGAGUAACGAGCCUCUCUUGCACGCGAUCCGUGAGUUCAUGAUCACGCAGGUCGAUGAAUGACUCGAACGAAUGUGUCUCAAGAAAUGUACACACGCGAAUAACACUAUGUACGAGGGAAAGGGAAAAUGUUUUAGAGAUCGUAAUGGUUGCACUAUAAGAUCAAUAUAUUUGUACACUUCCUAUUUUUAUGGAUAUAUUAUUUAUGAUGACCCAGGCGGAUAAGCUAACUCUAUCGAACGAAGAAAAAGGGAUUUUAAGCGUAGUCCUACGUCGCGUUCGUCGUAAUGAGCUCCCUUAUGAAAGUAUACGUACAAUCGUGACGAUCAAAUAUAGCGGAACAAUUGGAAACGAACAUCGUCACCCAAAGAGUCACGCUUUUUACACUCACACGUACGAGUUCCGCGUUUGCGAAACGUUCGAACAUCUCCUCCUGUUCACAAACGCAAUGACAGUGUUCGCCGAUUACACUCACGAUAGCGCAUUCUCAUGCGAGCGGUAAUUAUUAAGAUUUAACCCUUCUAUGCACAUAAUACUGUUUUCUUUUUGUUCUUGUAUCUCUACGACGCCAUGCCACAAGAUCUCGAACAUCGUAACGCGCACUGGUGUGUUAAAAACUACGUUUUGCGAUAACUGUAAUUGCUCUUGAAUAUUUUUCUAUUUAUUUGUUAAGAAACUUGGCCGAGAACCAACACAAUGCUGGUGAAAAAAAAGAGGUUUACUAGUUCGUAAUAAAAUUAAAUCCCUGUUUAAUAAUGUAUUAAUUGAUUGACUAUCUUCGAAAACACCUGACUCACAAUCCGAUUUGUCGUUCCUUUUCGAAAUAACACAUCGGUCUUCAGAAAUACGUUACAAUUAAUUAAUAUUGGAAUCUAUAUCGUUUGCUUCUGUGAAAAGUGAAAGCUAAUGCUGCAGCGAAUUCCUACAUCCUUUCUCUCAUCGUUUUAACGAAACAUGCGAUGAUACCAUCAGAAAAUAGUAUUACACAAGAUUGUCUUCAUGUAACAAACAAUCGUUUAAUGUAACUUGUUUCUGUAAUUCGAUAAAUAUGAAUUGCAAAAAUAUCAUCAGGACUGCAUACAUUAGGCGUAUAUGUCGCUAUAUUAUUAUAUAUUAAUUAUGUACUUCAUACACAUAUUCUGUACUAGGAUUAAAAUAGUUAGCGCUUAUUAAAAUUAAGUAAAUGCAUUCUCUAAGUUCCCGAGCUAUUGCAAUGCAUUCUGGAAUUGACCUUACGGUCGCCGAUUUCACAUCGUCAAUUCAUCACUCAUACAUCGAGCCUUGACUUUGGUGACUCCAACUUAGCAUAAGAAUAAUAGAAGGCAAUAUUUCUACGAUAGUGGAAAGGUGAAUGACGAUGUACAUGUGAUAUGCAUUAUUCUUUUGCUCUUCUUUUAUCGAUUAAAUCAUUAUCAGUUAACCACGUGCGCUGGGACAAUACAACGGUAACUGCGCGCAUCCACCUCGUAGAAUGUUGCAGCGAACUAGAACGCUCAAAAAUCCUUUUCCUCGUUUUAAAAAGAAGGAAAGAAAGCAUUUGGAGUAUCAGCUGAAGUGCAGUCUUAAUGAACAGACAAUAUUGUAAUAAUCGCAUAUAUAUUAUUGCAAACCACAAAAAGAAGACACGCGACAAACUUUUUGACAAAUCCGGCGCGGGAAGGGCAUCGAUGUGAAUAUCAUAUUAAUAUAUAUUAUAUAUUAAUGUAUAUCACAUUAAUAUAUAUGUCUAGCACGUUACAUUAUUCCAGCGCAAGUGAUUAAACCAUUUUACAUAAGAAAACUGCCGUAUAUAUAACGGAAUGACAGAGUAUGCACAAAAUCUCACGAGAACGAAAAGAACUUAAGGCGGAGAGUACAUGAAGUAGAAGUAUUUGGAUGAGUUUUUGAGCGUUCGACGGUAGAUCUUUGUGCGUGCUUUAACUUACGCACAAUUAUGCGAUAAAAAGUAAAGCUAGCUGUAUACGUGUAACAGAGUGACUAAUUUGCGUUUUCUCAGUCUCGUUUAAUUUGUGAUAUUACGCUAUUACGGUAUAUUACCAAUGAACACACACAUUUGCGAAGAUAAUACUUGAGCAACGCAGCGACUCUUAACGAUUCGUAAGUUAUAUUGCAGUAACUUUUUUACGCGAGUGUCUCGUCUUGAUAAUCGUUUUUUAGCGAGUUUUUAGAAUACGUCGCGCCACGAUUCGUGCUAUGUCAAUCGUUGUGCUAUGAGGAAUCACAUUGUCUGAUAAACAUUUGCGCGAACGCACAAAGCUGAACAGAGGGAUCGUCCACGAUGCGUUCAGCCCUUGGUGCCUCUCUAGGCAACUAAUAAACAGAUAUAAAACUUUUGCUGAGACAGGAAAAGCUUCCAUUUUUCGUAGUGAUGGAUGCAAUAUCUUUUCUACGAGCACAUUAUAUUGCCAUUGUAUUUUAUUCGAUUAUACUUGAUCGACUUGAGCAAUCAAACGUUGCAAAGGCUCCUUUCUUACGCGUCGUAAGAAAGGAGUCUACUGACCACACAAUAUUUUUCUAAGGAGAACCAUGAUAUGGCUCUUCAUAACUUUUGCAAUGCAGCUAUAAUACUCUAUAAACACACGGUUAUUUUCCUCUGAAGAAAACAGCUGUCUUUAUUGAAUCAGCAGUAAAGACAAAUGCAUUCCUAUCUUAUUCCUCUUGUAUUUUCAGCAUCAUCCCACGUGAUAUAAUUUUGAAAAUUCUAUUUUAAAUAAAAACCGUCGUACAUCGCGUCUCUUACCUUUUUCCUUCUUUUCUAAACCUAAAUUAUUUUAUUUUCUCAAGAUUAAAGCUCAAUUUUUCCUAAAUCAAAGAUUAGCGAAAAAAAACGCAUGAAAGAUAUUGAGCAGAAAGUUUUCUUUCCGAUUUUUGCGUCCACUUGACUAUUUUUGUUGAUUUUGUAUGUAAUGCAAAUAGCCGUAUAGAAUUUCACGGCAUAAUUUUAAAUAACAGAGCGAUAUUAUGCGUACGUGAAGGAACGAUCUGCGCUCAUAAUUAUUAUGUAACUAUCGCGUUUCCCUCCACGUGUGAAUUUCUUUAUGUGAAUUUUGCGUUCUGCAGACGCAUUUAAGAAGAUUUAACGGAAGCGCGAGAGGCCACGAUAAUGAAAAAGCGUAUCGCGUCAUGUACCUAAUGUUACGAACUCUGUAAUGAUUCUCAUUAUAUUUUUGUACAUAAUUGGGGAGAAUUACGAGAGAAUAAAGCGAUUCGAUGAAA
rnacentral:misc_RNA from 1 species